UAUGACCCUGAGACCAAGGCCUGAGGUACAAUCAAGAGUUGGAUGCUUAACUGACAGAGCCACCCAGGCGCCCCUCUCCUUUGCUUUCAAACAUCAACCUGUAUGAUGAUGUGUGGUGUUGCAAGAACAAUCUAAAUGCAAAUCUACUGGAAAAUAAUUUUUGCCUAACUUCCCUAACUGUUCAUGAACAGCGCCAAUACAGGGAGUAGACUUUAGAAGUUUAGCAGGGGUCUUCAAACGAUAGAGCCACAGGCCAAAUCAGUGGCCUGUCACCUGCUUUUUGUACAUCUUGUGGGCUAAGAAUUGUUUUUACAUUUUUAAAUGUUGAAAAAAAUCAAAAUAAUAAUAUUUUGUGAUACUUGAAAACUGUAUGAAAUUCAGAUUUCAGGCUGAAACAAUGUUUUAUUGAAGCACAGCCACGUUUACUUAUUUACAUAUUGGCUAAGGCUGCUUUUGUGUUGCAACAGCAGAGUUGAGUGAUUGUGACAGAAAUUCUACGGCCCACAGAACCUAAAGUCUUUAUUACAUCACCCCUUACAGAGAGAAUUUGUCAACUCCUGAUCUACAGACAUGAAUUGUCCAGGAAAAUUUGGACUAGGAGGCUGGGGUUUCUUCUUUGCCCAGAAGCCUGUAUCCGGUGCUGUCUUUAUUCUUCAGGGCUGCUACAGCCUACCAUAGACUGUGUAGCUUAUCAACAACGGAGAUGCAUUGCUCACAGUCCUGGAGGCUGAGAAGUUCAAGACCAAAGCACCUGCAUGGUCAGCUUCUGGGGUCAGGCAACAUGCUACUUACUCCCUCAUGUGUUUCAUCUUGGUCGCGGCCACUGUGCUGGUGAACGUUGUUAGUCCCGGGGACACGUCUGGAGCUGUGCUGGGGAUUGUCCUCGCAUCUGAAAAUCAAUGCACAGCCCUUAUUGACUUCAUCAGCACCCCGGCAACUUCCAGGCAACAUUCAAGGGCAAUCAGAAAACCGAAGUUAAUCCACCUGUGCCACUAGGGCUCUCCUGGGGGCACUCCCAGAUAAAGGUCCUGCCUGCUCAACUUUACGUCAGAGGCUGCUUCCUGAAGAACCCAGGCCAUGACACAUGGGUACCUGGUUGGGAGGAUGUGGGGGCAUGAAGGUGGUUUUCUCAUUGACUUCAACAAGUUGAGUAAUAAAUAAGAAUGAUAAUAAAUAUACAAAUGGAACCCUAUACUCCCCCCCCACA